UGCAGAAUAGAGAUAAAAAAAAAAUUGCUAUCCUGAAGCUUUCUCUGCACAUUCAUUUCUCCAUAUCUCUUAAAUAUCUCAACAUCCCAGAGCUGCUUGAGCAUGCAUCUCUGGGACCCUCUUUUCUUUUCAUUCGAUGGAAAUAUUUAUAGAGAUGCUUCAAUGGAUGGUAAUGUCCUGAUGGUGUUAUUCUGCUGUGCAGUAUGAUAUGAAGCUAUUAGCUGUUGACAUUCCCAUGGCAUCGGGACCUGACCAGAGAUUGUUUCUGAUUGGAGAUGAGGAUGAGUAUAAGGUUGGCGGUGGACUAAUAUCUGAGCUGAGAGAUCCUGUUGUGAAAGCAAUGGCAGCCAGCAAGGAAUUUGAUGAUCUUGACCAAAUUGAGGAAGAGGAGGAUGCCGCAAGAGAACUUCAGGAGGCAGAAAGAAAGCACCGUGAGGAAAUUGAAAAACUUGAAAGAGAUGGUUCGUAGUACUCGUUUUUACUCAAACUUUCCCUCCAUUCUUUUACGUUUUUAUUUUUUCGUGGAUAUUUUUUGGAUAGAUGCCUGAAGCUUGAUGCAGGCGGGUCUUUUCAUUUGUAUCCGAAUUUAAUUCUCCACAGCUUUUUCCUUUAAGCUGCUAAAGAGCAUGUUCAAAAAUCUCAAAAGUUAAAAGUUGAGAAGAUCUAAUCAAGACAAUAAGGUGUACAACUGGGGUACUGUGCUUCACUAGAAGUGCAAUUUUCCUGAUUUGGAUUGCUUGCCUUUAUUUUAGGUUCGCUUUCUUUUCUUUUUGAAGUCUGAGAAAUUUUUGUAGCAGCAACUUCUACGAUGACAUGCUUUAGUUCCUCUGGGUACUUCUUACCAGAUGGAUGGACGCCUGUAUUCAUUUCUUUUUCAUGGAAGAGUGCUAAAAUGAGGAGUCCUAGUAGCCCUUUUCUUUAUUUCCUUGUCACAAUCAUUCAACUUAUAGCUGUUGUUUUCAUCUUGUAUGUUUACAUCAUGCACGGCGUACAUUCCUGUUAAAUGAGCAAUUGAAGUCAUAUUUGCUCCUUGACAAAAUGGCAUUGGACCAUCUUUUGGUAUGACUGGAUAUGUGCAGGUUGGCUGCCAUUCAUGCGGUGGGGAUCAUCUUUGAUGUUAAAUGGGAGGAAAUUUGGGAGUAUUGCCAAUGCAUGACCCCGACAGAGAGUGAUGUGAUAACACCUGAAGCCUAACUACGUCACAUGGUUAAGCAUAUAAAAGCAUUCCUGCAUCAAAUGCUGGCAACUGCUAGUGACCUGGCCUUGUUUGUGAAAAAGAGUUCUUACGUAACAAAAAAAAUUAAAUUUCUCUCCUAUAGGAGAUUGAGAAUGGAGAUCUUGCAUUUAAGAUUGUAGCCUUGCAGGAACCCUGACAGUCGACGAAAAUAGCAUCAUAUCAAGGUUGGCGAGAUCAUGCCUUGAUGCAAAUAGCCAACCGCCGCGGACCCACCUUUACCCCUUGUUUGUAUAUACUUCUUGUUUGUUUGUGAAAAUUAUUUCUGAAAAAUGGUGAUUUUAGGUAACUAUUAUUUGUCGCAGAUUUUUAAAUCACAAAAUCGGUGGUUUAAAAUUUUUGUAUUCCCAUUUUACACAAUAUUUAUUUAUAUAUUUAAAAAAAUAAUAAGGGUAUUUUAGUAACUUCAUAUUUAUUUUACCAGACCAACAAAAAAGAUUAUUAAACUAUUCUAUACCAUACCAUUUUUUCAAACAUGUUAACAAUAAAAACCAUACCAUAAAAUAUAAAAGAUGAUACAUUAAUAAACUAUGAAACGCUCAAUUCAAAUAGGGGGUAAAACUUUAUUCCUAAUUAUUCCAAUUUAGACUAGGAUCAUAAACAUUAUAAAUAGCCAUGUAGUAUUAUUUUCUACAGAUUUUUGUUAAACUUAUCAGAUUAUUCUUUCAAUAAAGCUAGGCUUGCUUUAUUUUAUUUCUUGGAUUCUAGGUUGAAUCUGGUUUAUUUCAAGGUAUUGUAUUAGAUCUGGUUUGUUUUAAGGGUUUGAUUGUGUAUUGACCUUAGCGAUUAUAGACUUUGAACUCACAUACAGCAGCCAGCAAAGAUCCCAUUUCAACAAGGGCCAAAAAUUGUAUUAGAUAAAGCAUGUCAAUCCAGAGAAAGUUUUGCAUUCAGGACAUCUACAGUUAUAUAAAUAUUCAAUUGUGCACAUAUUUGAUGGAAUAAAACUGCACAUCAAUUAGCUUACUCUCUCGAAGUUCAUCAGCUCCUUUGCAACUCCGAAAAUCCACUGUUUGAAGCACCUUCAGGAACAAAGAUUCACAGAAGCAAUUUAGCCCAUUUAGCCUUAAUAUAAACACACAAGGCAAGAUAGAAGAUUGAGGCACUAAAAAUUAUGGAGGGACACUCUUACCAAGUGUCACUACAAGUUUCCAAACUGUGAAAUAGAACAUUGUUGCCUACCUUACCAUUUUAUAAUCCAUCACAGAUGCCGAGUUCAAAAUGUAGAAAAAUUGAAAGAAAUUGGGACUGAAAUCUUUUUUUGAACUGAAAUCUGAUCGUGCAAGAUAAUAAAGUACCUCAGGUCAUGGGCAUAUUCAACUAAAAAUUGCUCUAAAAGGGGCUUGAGGAUUUGCAAUUGGUAACAAGUAUAUUGCAAGAUCAUAAAUUUGCAAGCCCACAGAGGGAUCAACAGCUCUGGAGAAGACCAAAAUGAUCACAAACAAAAUAAAUUCUGAAAUGGAAACUAAGACCACGCCUAUGAAACAAAUCACCAUUAAAAUGAAACAACAAAUUCAGAUGAAUUGAACCUCAAAUUCCUGGAAUGAAUUCAUGCUAAGUAAAAAAACAAAAAGGCAAAAUUGAACACAAUCAUAAAUGCUGAUCAAAUAGUCAAAAUUGAAAAUGUAUUGUUAAGUUUACCUGGAGUAAAUGGGGACGAAUAUCUUUGAGAACAGCACGCAUCUUGAAGUAGCUGCAGUCUUGGAUUUGGACAUAACCUUCAAAUUCAAGCGGUCUUUUCUUGUCUUUGGGAGGGAGACAAGCAGUUACUGGAGGAGGAGGUGGUGGUGUUGAUGCUGCAGCCGCUGUCACCGGUGGUGCUGCAGCUGCUGUCGCCGGUGGUGCUGGCGGUGGUGGUGUAUGUGAAGGGGGAGCUGGGUCUGUGUCUACUGGGUUUGAGUCUAGGUUCGGGUCUUGGGUUGGUGGAUCCUGGGCUGAUAUUGCUUCUUCCAUGACAGUGUUAUGUCUUAAUUGG
rnacentral:misc_RNA from 1 species